rnacentral:lncRNA from 1 species
GGGGUGGAUGUUGUGUUGUAAUACGAGUAUAUCAUGAAAAUAUAAAGAAAGGGGACUUUUAUUAAUGUUCAGUUACUUCGAAUAUUGGGAGCAACGAUCAAUUCCAAUGCCAAUAUUCAGGGGCCAGUUCAGACACCCCGUCACAGUUAGUCAGGGCAUACUUACUAGUAACAAAAUGCUCCGUUUGAGUCUAAUAGUGGGAGUCAACAGAAUCGAAA